rnacentral:rRNA from 1 species
UACGUAGGGUGCGAGCGUUGUCCGGAAUUAUUGGGCGUAAAGAGCUCGUAGGCGGUCUGUCGCGUCGGUCGUGAAAACUUGGGGCUUAACCCUGAGCUUGCGGUCGAUACGGGCAUGACUGGAGUUCGGCAGGGGAGACUGGAAUUCCUGGUGUAGCGGUGAAAUGCGCAGAUAUCAGGAGGAACACCGGUGGCGAAGGCGGCGACCUGGGCCAAUAUUGACGCUGAGGUGCGAAAGCGUGGGGAGCAAACAGG